rnacentral:lncRNA from 1 species
CGGGAAUGGCUUCUCCUUGGGAGGGGUCAACGAGCCAUAAUGAGCAACCCACCAUGCCUCGUUCUCGGCAGGAUGCACCGAGUGAGGCACGAACUCCAUCUUCGGAACGACGAGCUCUUCAUAAGGACUCGCGGACGAAGACCCUUUUUUCGCAAUCUUUUUCUUGCUCGACAUCUUUACACUUCUCUUGAGAGAAUAGAGGAAAAGGGUGGAGAGAAAGAUAGAAAGUUUUUUUUUUUUUAAGAAAGAUCUUAGAGAAAGACAAGAAAGUGAAAAAAUUAUGGAACAAGUUACCUCCCUUCUUAUAAGACAUAAGGAUUUACUAUUCAAGCUCGGACUUUCGGAUAUUAAUUCCAUCCAUCACGCCUAACUUGCCAAACAUGUC